rnacentral:lncRNA from 10 species
AGAAAAGCUGAGGAAGUGGGAAAUCUGUGGCUGGAGCUCAGCAGGGAGGAUUUCUUCUCCACGCUGUCCUCGAGGGCCGCCCUGAACAUGUUGUAGUGGAGCUUCCGUCUGUCUUCAGCUUCCGUCAACACUGAACCAGCUCAUCUAAGCACCAGACACAAGAUUUUACUGCUUUUGUCAGGUGGAGUGGGAAGUCGCACCCACGUCUGGCCAGUUGGGUCGGCUGUAACUCAGACUUUGGACUGACUUGUCACCCAGCUCAUAUAGCAAGGAGUUCCUGAUGGCAGCUGGGGGAGCUGACAUCAGUGUCAGCUCAGACUCUUAGGCAGUUACCUCAAUCCUCCCAAUAGUUCCUAAUCCUUACACAAUAUGGAGCCAAGUCCCUAAAGAUGCUCAUUGGUUCACAGUAUUAGACUUAAUGCCUAAUUAAGGAUGUUUUCUUGUGUAUACCUUUACACCUGGACUCCCAGUAUAUUUUUGCUUUUGAAUGAACUGAU